rnacentral:misc_RNA from 1 species
GGGGGAAUUAGUCUACUGUCAUUAACUGCCAAUGCUGCUGAGGACCCACAAACAUUGCGCAUGGUUGCUGGAGCCAUUGCUAAUUUAUGUGGCAAUGAAAAACUACAGUCGAAAUUGAGAUCUGAAGGCGGUUUAAAAGCCUUGCUGGGAAUGGUGCGAUGUGGACAUCCAGAUGUUCUUUCUCAAGUUGCUCGUGGAGUAGCAAACUUUGCAAAAUGCGAGUCCCGAGCAGCUGGUCAUGGGAUGAACAGUGGCAGAUCUCUUUUGAUAGAAGAUGGAGCACUUCCUUGGAUCAUACAAAAUGCAAAUAACGAAGUGGCA